rnacentral:rRNA from 1 species
UACGUAGGGUGCGAGCGUUGUCCGGAUUUAUUGGGCGUAAAGAGCUCGUAGGCGGUUUGUCGCGUCGGCCGUGAAAUCUCCACGCUUAACGUGGAGCGUGCGGUCGAUACGGGCAGACUUGAGUUCGGUAGGGGAGACUGGAAUCCUGGUGUAGCGGUGAAAUGCGCAGAUAUCAGGAGGAACACCGGUGGCGAAGGCGGGUCUCUGGGCCGAUACUGACGCUGAGGAGCGAAAGCGUGGGGAGCGAACAGG